rnacentral:ncRNA from 1 species
UAAAAGUUUGAUUCUUUCUUUAGUUUCCACGGUUAUUGUUGCAAUUGUAUGAAAAUAUUGGUGUGUAUAUUUUUGGUUUUAGACAUAUAAUAAUUUGAGUAGAUUUAUAAUCUGUGAUAAUUAAAUUCUCAGCAUAUAAUAUUAAAUAAUGUACUAAAGUAUGAUUUAGUAAUAAGUUAAGAUCUGGUGAAAGAUUGUGCCAGCAGUCGCGGUUAGACUUUAAGGUCAAGUGGAAAUUCGGUGACAGUUUAUAGUUAAAUGAAAGCUAAUAAGUGUUGUUUGUUAAAAUAAAAGGUGAAAUUUAAUUGUUUUUUGUAUACUAAUGAUGUUUGCUUAAAUUGAAGCUAAUAAUUUUUAGAUUUAAACUAGGAUUAGAUACCCUACUAUACUAAAAAGUAAAUGUUGAAUAACUGAUUAUUAAUAGUUAUAUUCUUUAAAUUUGAAGAAUUUGGCGGUAGUUUAGUCUUGUCAGAGGAACCUGUUUUUUAAACGAUAAACCACGUAAAAUCUUACUUGUCGUAGUUUUCAGUUUGUAUACCAUCAUUAACAGAUAAUUUUUAAAGAAAUAAUUAUUGUUAGUAAUAAAUUAGUAAAAUUAGAUCAAGGUGCAGCUUAUAGAUAAGUUAAAAUGGGUUACAAUAAGUUUUAUUUAUUUAUGGAUAAAAAAAUGAAUAUUUUUUUUUAAGGAGGAUUUGAUUGUAAUUGAAGUUUAAUAUGCUCAAAUGAUAUUAGCUCUAAAUUAUGUACAUAUUGCCCGUCGCUUUCAUUUAUAGAUGAAAUAAGUCGUAACAUAGUAGGUUUAUUGGAAAAUGAACCUAGUUUGAA